ACAAAACAAAACACGUUUUCGUUUUGUCUGCACCAACCUAAGAAAGAGCGAGCGCGCGCGAGAGCGAGAGAGAGGCAGAUGCACACUGCAAAAGCUGCUGUGCUCAGAAAUGGGCCUGCAGCCACUUCCCACUUUGGAAGCCUCGGCAAUAAUUCUCUCCCCUCAUUGCAUUCACCCUGCCCACUCCGGUACGGCUGCCAAGUCAGAGAGUUGGCACAGCUUCCCAGGCAGCGCGGAACAAAGCCGUCACCCAUCCCUGAACAGGCGCUGACAGUAAGCAAAGUGACAGGCACAUCUUCUGCAUGUUAAUCCAAACGGAGGGCACAGAGAGAGAGAGAGAGAAAGAAGCCAGCCCCCCCACCCCCGGCACCAUUCCUUUCUAACCAAAGCCUCAGUCGACCUCGUGCACGGUUCGGAAGGACCCCUUGAAAAAUAUAGCCGGCUGCACUGGGAAUUCAAAACGAUGAUAAUAAUAAUAUCGAGGAUUUAAAUAAAAACAAUCACCCGACCCACCGACACCCUGGCAAACGAGGCCGUUCGGCAUCUGCUGUACCUGUUCCCGCUGCCUUCAUCUCGCCUUGGAACCGUGACAAGAGAGAGAAGUCGCCUCUGGUGGGCUCUCAAAGCCUCGGGUCUGCAACCCUUUGCAGGAAGUUGGCACCGAUCCCAGGCCGCGGCAAAGAGGGGCGGGGGAGCGCUGCAUUUGCAAGCCUUCGCAGUUGUCUGUGGACUCUUGCAGCACAUCAGAAAAUGCUCCCAGGACAUUUUGCCUCCAUGACGAGGCAGGAGCGGGGAAAACACAAUCCCCAUCACCAGGUACAGAUCUGGCGGGACUUCGCCAUUCCCCUCCACCACAUCCACAGCCUGGGGAGAUGCAGCUGCCUUGGAUUCUCUUCCAUCUCCCAGCCACUGGUUUCCCCUCUACGGAGCAGCCUCAUCUCCUGGUUUCACUAAUGACAAAGACCUUUCCCAGGGGCUGGUGCCUUGUUAGACCUUAAAGACCUCAAAACACAGAACGUGGCCACCUGCGAGGUCGGCCUACGGAGGCUGCGCUCUGUCAGAAGAAGCAAUGGGACUGGGUAGGCAGAUUCCAGGAUGCCGUCAUAGCAAACAGACGCACACGGAGAGCUCUUCCUGCUGGGUCUCACCCAAGGCAGCUUGCAGGAGAGGACCCUCAUGUGAGCAAAUCUAAGGUUAUCUUGGCAGAAGUGGAGGCUGCUGUGGGGACUGAGACUCAGAAGUGGUUAAGCAGAAACGGGGCUGUGCAAGCACCACUGUCUCUCUAAAUGGACAGGGAAGUAGUUAGCACAUAGCAAGAGGUCAGUUAACAUGCUGUUAUAUUGUCCAUGGGACCCUGCUUCAACUUCCCUGCAUUUCAAGUGUUAUAGUGUGCAGCAGUCUCCCAUAGAGCAACACCUCAGUCAAGCAGAAUCCCCAGUACCAGAGGCCCGGCUCAGAGAUGCUCGUGGGAACAUGCAGGUUUGCUGCACUCGUUACAAACGAUGACCUGCAGCUUGACUGCAGCAGCUCAGGACCUCACAAUCACACCUGCCCCCACUACAAGAGCACAGACCCCCUUGCACUUGAGCUAACAGUGUUGCAGUCAGCAGGUUGCAGUCUCCAACAUACAUACAGGCAGAACUGACUCCAAUCGAGUGGGGCAGCAGUGCAGAGACACUGGCCGAUUUGCAACAACCAACCCUUUCAUGUCAAGCGUGAGACUCAAAACAGCCCUCUACAAGGAUCCAUUUGUUAAAGGGGGGAAAGUUAACCCUAACCCAAGUUACACUUUUGUGACCUCAUCUGCAAUUUCAGCUACCAGGCCAUUUUCCCAACCUCUUCUUCCUGACAGCUGGGAGCUGAUCAGCCCAAAGUCCUUUGGAUAAUCUCUCCUCAGCUCAAGGCGUCCGAUAACAGAUGUAUAGCAAGAGAAAGGGAGUGAACCACACCCUCCAGAUUGCCAUGUAAGAGGAGAUAGAGUAAAUAUUUGAAGGCUGGCUCAUUUCCUCACAAGCUAGGAAAGAGACAGAAGCAAACCGUCAAGGCAUGGGUUCUUUCGGGUAACUCGUUUUCUGUGUUGAGGUCAUAGUUUCAUAGUUUCUGGGGUCGGAGGGGACUUGAACAGAUCAUCAAGUCUGACCCCCUGCCCUGGGCAGGAAUGAGUGCUGGGAUCAUAAUACCCCAGCCAGAUAUCUAUCCAACCUCCUCUUAAAGACCCCCAAGGGGUCUGAGGAACUCUGCUUUAAGACAUGUAUAAAACAGAGAUAUCCCAACACUCUGGGGUAGCUCAGAUCCCCCACUUUGGAUAAUGGCUCUGUCCCCAAGCAGUAGGUUAGCUUAUCUAGUUAAGAAAAUAAAAUAAAUAAAUAAAAAUGGAUCUAAUUAACCACAAGCUGCAGGGCUACAGAACACUGUCUAGGAGUCCUGUGAGUAACAACGGUAGCACCAUAAGACUUUUAACAUUAACGGGUGUUAAUGAGGAACACAACAACGCAUUUCAAAUCAGAGACUGAUUUCUUUUGCAUUUAAGAGACAGUACCAUAGAGGAUUCAAGUAGCCAGCCCAUUUACUUUAGCAAACGGAUUCAAAUUUAUCAAUUUUAUUUUGCUCAACCUCAACCCUCUAUUAUCCAUGUCCAAUGGAGCAAGGCAAUUGGUUGCUGAAAAGCUGAAGAGAAGAAAAUCCGAGUUUACAUCAGCAGUUACUCUUCUUUGGAAAAAGAGG